AGUGAACGCUGGCGGUAGGCCUAACACAUGCAAGUCGAACGGCAGCACAGUAAGAGCUUGCUCUUACGGGUGGCGAGUGGCGGACGGGUGAGGAAUACAUCGGAAUCUACUUUUUCGUGGGGGAUAACGUAGGGAAACUUACGCUAAUACCGCAUACGACCUACGGGUGAAAGCAGGGGAUCUUCGGACCUUGCGCGAUUGAAUGAGCUGAUGUCGGAUUAGCUAGUUGGCGGGGUAAAGGCCCACCAAGGCGACGAUCCGUAGCUGGUCUGAGAGGAUGAUCAGCCACACUGGAACUGAGACACGGUCCAGACUCCUACGGGAGGCAGCAGUAGGGAAUAUUGGGCAAUGGGCGAAAGCCUGAUCCAGCCAUACCGCGUGAGUGAUGAAGGCCUUCGGGUUGUAAAGCCCUUUUGUUGGGAAAGAAAAGCAGCAGAUUAAUACCCCGCUGUUCUGACGGUACCCAAACAAUAAGCACCGGCUAACUUCGUG
rnacentral:rRNA from 1 species